rnacentral:lncRNA from 1 species
UUUGCAUACUUUCCUAUAUCGUUGAUGACAUCAUUCGACUAUUAACAUCGUUGUUUCAUUUGGAAUAUUCACCUUUAUUACACUCACCUUUAUUUUGCUCGGCAACCACUGCAAUGAACAUGUGGAAGUCCUCUUUUCUGAAAUUUGACCACAUAAAAAUAAGCAGCCACCACCCAAAACAACGAGUCUAUUACAAUUUCCUUUUUCUAGUACUCAAUUUUUGCUCCGAAAACUCUUGCAUACUAAUCAACUCUAUUAUGACUGUUUUCAAUAGGAAAUGAUCAACUUUGAAUUUCUACUCACUUUGGAUUACAAGUCAUUGUGAGGAAAAUACCUCAGAGUCCAUAUUUCGCCACAAGCGCUAGCACACUCAUGUAACGGCAACCUAGAUCAUGCAGCCCACCUAUGAGAUUGGAACACCCACCAGUGUCAAUAACAACAACACAUGUACAUCUUUCUUUUUAUCACUGUCUUAUUUGAAAAUUACAAACCACAAUCAAUAAAAAUAUUAAUAGCAACACCACUCACUAAACAAUCUCACAUAAUGAUAAAUUGAAUUGUGAAAAUCUAGACACACAACAAAUAUAAUUAUGCACAUCUCAAGCUUCUCGACCGAGUAGUCAGAGCACGUGAACACUCACGGCCGAAAAUAUUUGGCAUAGCCAUAACAGUUCAGAUGGAUGAGGUAAACUAAAACAUAAACGUUUUGAAGUUGUCACAUGGUCGUGUACGACAUUUGAACACAGAGAUUUAAUAUUAAAUUCACACCAAAACAAAUACAACCAACAAAGAAUUGAGAAAUACAUGGCAGGUGUGAUAUCAUAGCUCGCAACAUGCAUUAUAGAAGAAUUAAAAUUACCAUGCACCAUACUCUAAAGCAAAGACAUAGAACCAAUAAACUAAAGGUAAGUGUGCAACUGAUACAAAUGAGCCCCAAAAAAAGAAAAAACAAAGAAAGCUC